UUUCAGGUCUGUGGUUGAAAGUCGAGGCCAGACGCAGGCGAAGCGAUCCACAUAACCCGGAAAAAUUCCGGCGAGCAUGGUGCGUUUUAGAAGUAAGUCCGUCCGGGUCAUGUGCCCGAGAGGAGUAGUAGUGGGGAGGCAAGGGCCUUAGGAGCGAACCUUCCAGGCGGCGAGUGUGGGGGCAAAGACCAGGUCAGCUGAA
rnacentral:ncRNA from 1 species